rnacentral:rRNA from 1 species
GUUUGAUCCUGGCUCAGGAUGAACGCUAGCUACAGGCUUAACACAUGCAAGUCGAGGGGAAACGAUAGAGAAAGCUUGCUUUUUCUAGGCGUCGACCGGCGCACGGGUGAGUAACGCGUAUCCAACCUGCCCACCACUUGGGAAUAACCUUGCGAAAGUAAGACUAAUACCCAAUGACGUCUCUAGAAGACAUCUGAAAGAGAUUAAAGAUUUAUCGGUGAUGGAUGGGGAUGCGUCUGAUUAGCUUGUUGGCGGGGUAACGGCCCACCAAGGCGACGAUCAGUAGGGGUUCUGAGAGGAAGGUCCCCCACAUUGGAACUGAGACACGGUCCAAACUCCUACGGGAGGCAGCAGUGAGGAAUAUUGGUCAAUGGGCGAGAGCCUGAACCAGCCAAGUAGCGUGCAGGAAGACGGCCCUAUGGGUUGUAAACUGCUUUUAUAAGGGAAUAAAGUGAGUCUCGUGAGACUUUUUGCAUGUACCUUAUGAAUAAGGACCGGCUAAUUCCGUGCCAGCAGCCGCGGUAAUACGGAAGGUCCGGGCGUUAUCCGGAUUUAUUGGGUUUAAAGGGAGCGUAGGCCGGAGAUUAAGCGUGUUGUGAAAUGUAGACGCUCAACGUCUGCACUGCAGCGCGAACUGGUUUCCUUGAGUACGCACAAAGUGGGCGGAAUUCGUGGUGUAGCGGUGAAAUGCUUAGAUAUCACGAAGAACUCCGAUUGCGAAGGCAGCUCACUGGAGCGCAACUGACGCUGAAGCUCGAAAGUGCGGGUAUCGAACAGGAUUAGAUACCCUGGUAGUCCGCACGGUAAACGAUGGAUGCCCGCUGUUGGUCUGAAUAGGUCAGCGGCCAAGCGAAAGCAUUAAGCAUCCCACCUGGGGAGUACGCCGGCAACGGUGAAACUCAAAGGAAUUGACGG